CGAUGAUGAUAAUGAUGAUGAUGAUGAUGAUGAUAAUUUUAUUAUUAUAAUAAUAAUUAUCAUCAUCAUCAUUAUCAUCAUCAAUG
rnacentral:pre_miRNA from 1 species